rnacentral:rRNA from 1 species
GGAUUAGAUACCCUGGUAGUCCACGCUGUAAACGAUGGGUACUAGGUGUUCGGGGUAUUGACCCCCUGAGUGCCGCAGCUAACGCAUUAAGUACCCCGCCUGGGGAAUACGGCCGCAAGGUUAAAACUCAAAGGAAUUGACGGGGGCCCGCACAAGCGGUGGAGCAUGUGGUUUAAUUCGACGCAACGCGAAGAACCUUACCUGGGCUAGACAACGUCGGACCGCUCUAGAGAUAGAGCUUUCCCGCAAGGGACUGGCGGUUCAGGUGCUGCAUGGCUGUCGUCAGCUCGUGCCG